rnacentral:rRNA from 1 species
CUAACGUCCGUCGUGAAGAGGGAAACAACCCAGACCGCCAGCUAAGGUCCCAAAGUCAUGGUUAAGUGGGAAACGAUGUGGGAAGGCCCAGACAGCCAGGAUGUUGGCUUAGAAGCAGCCAUCAUUUAAAGAAAGCGUAAUAGCUCACUGGUCGAGUCGGCCUGCGCGGAAGAUGUAACGGGGCUAAACCAUGCACCGAAGCUGCGGCAGCGACACUAUGUGUUGUUGGGUAGGGGAGCGUUCUGUAAGCCUGUGAAGGUGUACUGUGAGGUAUGCUGGAGGUAUCAGAAGUGCGAAUGCUGACAUAAGUAACGAUAAAGCGGGUGAAAAGCCCGCUCGCCGGAAGACCAAGGGUUCCUGUCCAACGUUAAUCGGGGCAGGGUGAGUCGACCCCUAAGGCGAGGCCGAAAGGCGUAGUCGAUGGGAAACAGGUUAAUAUUCCUGUACUUGGUGUUACUGCGAAGGGGG